AGAUGGCAGAGGACUAAGUGGAAGCUACACUAAUGUCCUCCCAGGACCAAUCUGGAAUUACAACUAAAUUGUAGAGAAAUCAUCCAGAAUAACCAACUGAACACUAGCUGGAGACAAACCUUAUAACCACGGACAGACAGAAGGAACCACUUCACCACAAUGUGACUGUAGAUGAUAGAAUUUUCU